AGACACUGAAUCUGCUGGGGACUUAAUCUUGGAGUUUCCAGUCUCCAGAAUUAUAAGAAAUAAAUUUCUAUUAUUUAUAAAUUAACCAAUCUAAGGUUUUCAGGUGCUGGUUCCAUGGCUCUUCCUGAGCCGAAAAUAAGGAAACUCCAUAGACCUUGUCCACUGGAACUCGUUCCCAUCUACCCUCCACUCUAUCCAGGGUGAUGGAUCUCUGCAGAAAGAACCCAUAGAAACACAAGGAAGAAGGUCAUGUGAAGAUGGAGGCAGAGAUUGGAGGGAUGCAGCCACCGGCCCAGGAAUGCCAGCAGCCACCCAGAAGCUGGAAGGAAAUGAGGGAUUCUCUCCUAGAACCUUUAGAGAGAACAUGGUCCUGUGAACAGCUUGAUUUUGGACUUGCCCAUAGCUUGUAUACUCUUACUUUGGAUACAAUUUUAUCCAAACUUGGCUAAACAGUUUCUCAGCCUAUGGAAAAUUUAAAAUGGAGAAGAUUCAACUCGAUUCUUACAGAUUCAAAGCAAGAAAAUGAUGGGAACAUAGGAGGAGACCAAGAAAGCCUAUAAAAAGCAAAAAUAUGAAGUGAACAUUGUGGUAGCUUUAAGAUGUUUAGUGUAGCUGCAGGCACCCUAUACACAUGAAAACCCCCAAGGGGAAUCCCCAUAUCACAGUGUAGUGUGAUAUUUGACAUUCGUGAUCAUCUAGAGAUGUACAGAAAAGGUGAAUCUGUGUUCUGUAUAUUCUGCCUAAGGCAAAGAAAUGUUUAGCUCUCUUUAAAAUAGUUCCAUAAUUUUUUCUAAAAAGCUUUGCUUGAAAACUGUAAGCUUCCCAUAUCUGGAGCAUUUCACUUUAAAUAUUUGGAUAAAUAUGUUAUCUUCUUACUUGGACAUUUCAUGUGUUUAGGGAUUGUCUUCUAAAUUCUUCCUAAUUCAUAUAGCUGCUAACACUUCCCGCAGAGCUAAACCAUUACAGAUAUGAAAUAAAGACCUAUUGAUU
rnacentral:lncRNA from 1 species